GAUGAACGCUGGCGGCGUGCCUAAUACAUGCAAGUCGAGCGAACAGACGAGGAGCUUGCUCCUCGGACGUUAGCGGCGGACGGGUGAGUAACACGUGGAUAACCUACCUAUAAGACUGGGAUAACUUAGGGAAACCGGAGCUAGUACGGGAUAAUAUAUUGAACCGCAUGGUUCAAUAGUGAAAGACGGUUUUGCUGUCACUGAUAGAUGGAUCCGCGCGGUUUUAGCUAGUGGGUAAGGUAACGGCUUACCAAGGCGACGAUGAGUAGCUGACCUGAGAGGUGGAUAGCCCGCACGGGAACUGAGACACGCUCCAGGCUCCUACGGGAGGCCGCAGUAGGGAACGUUCCGCAGUAGUCGAGAGCCUGACGGAACAACGCCGAGUGAGUUGUGACGGUCCUCCGUUCGUGAAACUGUCUUACGAGGUAUGAACCACUGUGUACGCAACUAUGCCCUUCUUGACGGUACCUGAUCAGAAAGCCACGGCUAACUACGUG
rnacentral:rRNA from 1 species